GAUGAACGCUGGCGGCGUGCCUAAUACAUGCAAGUCGAGCGAACGGACGAGAAUCUUGCUUCUCUGAUGUUAGCGGCGGACGGGUGAGUAACACGUGGAUAACCUACCUAUAAGACUGGGAUAACUUCGGGAAACCGGAGCUAAUACCGGAUGAUAUUUUGAACCGCAUGGUUCAAAAGUGAAAGACGGUCUUGCUGUCACUUAUAGAUGGAUCCGCGCUGCAUUAGCUAGUUGGUAAGGUAACGGCUUACCAAGGCAACGAUGCAUAGCCGACCUGAGAGGGUGAUCGGCCACACUGGAACUGAGACACGGUCCAGACUCCUACGGGAGGCAGCAGUAGGGAAUCUUCCGCAAUGGGCGAAAGCCUGACGGAGCCACGCCGCGUGAGUGAUGAAGGUCUUCGGAUCGUAAAACUCUGUUAUUAGGGAAGAACAUAUGUGUAAGUAACUGUGCACAUCUUGACGGUACCUAAUCAGAAAGCCACGGCUAACUACGUG
rnacentral:rRNA from 1 species